rnacentral:rRNA from 1 species
AACGUAGGACGCAAGCGUUAUCCGGAGUUACUGGGCGUAAAGCGCGGGCAGGCGGCUCGAAACGUCUGAUGUGAAAUCUCCUCGCUCAACGGGGAGAGGCCAUUGGAAACGGUCGAGCUGGAGGGCAGUAGAGGUAGGCGGAAUUCCGGGUGGAGUGGUGAAAUGCGUAGAUAUCGAGAGGAACACCUGCGGCGAAGGCGGGUUGCUGGGCUGAUACUGACGCUGAGGCGCGAAAGCCAGGGGAGCGAACGGG